rnacentral:rRNA from 1 species
UACGAAGGGGGCUAGCGUUGCUCGGAAUUACUGGGCGUAAAGCGCACGUAGGCGGAUUGUUAAGUCGGGGGUGAAAUCCUGAAGCUCAACUCCAGAACUGCCUUCGAUACUGGCGAUCUCGAGUUCGGGAGAGGUGAGUGGAGCUGCGAGUGUAGAGGUGAAAUUCGUAGAUAUUCGCAAGAACACCAGUGGCGAAGGCGGCUCACUGGCCCGAUACUGACGCUGAGGUGCGAAAGCGUGGGGAGCAAACAGG